CCCAAGGCAAAGCUUGAAAAGGACGCAGUGGACAACAGUUGUGUUAUUCAGUACUUGGUGAUCUCCUUCCACAUGGAGGCAAAGUGGCAAAUGUAAGGAGGCUAUCAUCCAUCAAUGAGAUGCUGUGGAGCAAUGAGAAGGCAAGUGUACCUGCUGAGCAGGACCGCGGCUUGAAAGCGGCAGAUAUCCAUGGUUGGAAGCUGGCGAUGGACCUGGGAGAAGCUGUGAUUAGCAUGUGGAAGGCCGGGAUGCCGCAGGGCUGAAGGAGGCUAAAGUAUGUGCACGUAAGCUGGUUGAAAUUCUGAAGGCCAUUGACAAAAGCUGUGUGGAUAUUUGUGGGUUGAUGCUGGGGUAAGUAUAAAUGGAGAGUGUGGACAUAGGUCACCCACCAGACACUGUAUGCCUGGGAAUUGCAUGUUCAGAUAGCAGUGUAGGCUGCCCUCCAGGCUCUGGGCGAAUGAACCACUGGAUAUUCAUGGGUGGAAGCCAGCUGAGGUUGGCAGGCUGGCCAGUGGAGAUAGCUGGGUGAUAACUGUUGAAUGAGGGCCAUUCCCCUCACCAUAUCUGUGUUUGCCUUUCAUGGAUGUCACAAGCCGAUGAGGCUUUCCCCGAAAGCAGCAAUGAAGGGGACAGCAGAGCUUAAGCAAGCCAUCUUCUACAUCUAAAUCAAGGUAUUUCUAAAUACAUCUAAGUAGCGUUAAUGACAUUCCCCUUUCCAGUACCAGGAUGGGAGGCUGUGCAGAUGCAUCCCUAAGCAGUUGCUGUGGGCUACAAACUUCCUUUGAUGUCACGAAUGGACAGGGUGGCUGAGGGGAAAGAGGCUGUUUCUAGUGGGAGGUGGCUGGAAGAAGGGAGAAACCCCAGUAGAAGGUUCAGGGGAAGCUGGGGUAGGUAGGCAGGGCCAGCUGGAUAUGCAGAAGUUGAAUAUGGGCUGACUCCCUUGUCUACUUGCGUUGCCAACAUUUUGUUCUCUCAUGGCUCCUGUACCUGUCUCGCCUAGAUCGUUUGGCAAAAGCCCAAGUCCUUUAAUGGUUCCUGCAUUUCUCAGAGGAAAAAUGUGUGAGGGUUUCAGUAACUAAAAAGAGGCACAAAGUGUGAGUGCCAUAUGAUGAGACGACUCCUGGAUUUUCUCUUGGAGGAAUAAAGAACUUGCCAGAGCUCCUCAGUGAAACAUAGAGAAUAUGGAGGGUUGUACACUGAGACUGAAGGGAAGGCAGUGACGAAUUUUACAAUCCCUCAUCAAUUUUGAGCAAGCCUUAAAGACUUUUUUAUCAUGGCCUUUAAUAAAGCUAAUAAAGAUCUGUAAAUUUGAUGACUGAAAGUUCUGUCCCUGAAAACACCAAAAUUAUUAGUUUGAUAGUAGGUGACUACUUUUUAGAAGAUUGUUUUAAACUGUUUCUUUUUAGAAGUUUUAAUUGUAGUGAUAUUUAUAUGUUUGCCUCCCCGAACUACUUCAGAGGAAGAUGUGGGAUUUAAAUUUAAUAAAGAAUAAUAAUAAAGGGACUUUGGGUUAUUUUCUUCUUAUUAUAUGGUAUGCUGCUCUGCAUACUUCAGAUGGAAAUAGAUUCUUUGGAAGGCAUUCUUGCCUUAAAAGCACUAUAAAAUUCUAUUAAACAAAUAAAGUAAACCGGUAGCAUGUUUGUGCCAUACCUAGUAUGGCACAAGAAACCAGGGUCAAGGGCAUCUUCCUUCCUGAGGAAAACUAUCCCUGAAAUAACAUAUGUGAUGCAUACUUAUCACCAGGUCCUUCAGCUACUGUGAUGUUGCUGUGAUGUAAUGCAAUGUUCAGAAAGUUCUAACUGGUUUAGGAAUUACUGUAUCAUCAGUGAAACAGAGCAGCAUAGGAACAUGAUAGAAAUACAAGCAGUAAUUGUGAACUGGUAAGUGAGGAACCAGAAGGAGGAGCCUGUAAGUCAGAUCCCUCUUUCAAAAAGCCACAUGACUUGUGCUCAUUCUGCUGUGGGAGUAUUAGUGCUCCUCCAGUUCUGGCAGUUCUUCCAAUACAUUGUCAUUAUGGCUAUACACAAUUCAAUCUGCCUUAUAGACAAGAAAUCAGCAUCAAAUGUAUUUCUGAGCUGGCAAUAUAUAUGCUUGCCCAUUCAACACAAAUUUCAUGAUUUAAUACCGAGUUUCAAAUUUGGACGGGCUUGGUAUGAUUUGGGGAUAUUCAUGCAAUACUCAUUCAUGUAUGCCUUUCAUCUCUAUUUCAGAUUCCCGAUGUGUAUUUGAGUAUUAUAGUAAUUGGAGUAGUGGUAGCAAUGCUAUCAAGGUGGAAUAUGGCUCCAAACACUAAGAUGUUACAUAAAGAUACCUGUUGCCUCUUUGGUCUUCCUUUAUAUCUCUCUGUGCACUUUAUUUCUUUUCAAACACUUCUGCUAGAUUAUCAACCUUGGCUUCUUACCCAGAAAUAGGUAAGCUCUUGCAUGGUCAAUGGCAAUAUCCUUUCUUUACUUCACGUUUUUCUCUAGGCCAUACCCAACUGCCUUUUCACAUCUCUACCUACUGAAGACAUUUUGAUUUGCAACCAUCACCUCAAGGCUUUCCUAAGUGGCAGUGGGGCUGGCUAGCCUCCGUGAUCACGGGUGCCUGGGGUGCAGGCGCAUGCCAUGAAUUGCACAUGGUAAGUCAUGUCCCCUGGUGUGCAUGCACUAUGUUAUCACACACUGAGGUCACUCUUGCACGUAGCAGGGCACAGUGACAUAGCAUGCACACACUGGGGGGAGGGGAAUAAUGAUGAAAUGCACACACAGGUGGUAGUGUGCACAUGUGGCUGCACCACUUUUUUGUGGGUGCCUGUACCCCUCAUUUAAAAUGUUGUGGGAGCCAGGGCACCCAGGGCUCCUGAGACCUGGUGCCUAUGCUAAGCAGUCUGGUCCCUUCAUAUUCAUUGUUGCUUUUCCUUUGAUGAACUCUUGUUAUUAUAUCUUUCAAGUCUCGGUAUUGUCUUUCAAGUCUCGGUAUUGUCUUUGCUUUGCUAUAAAGCUUCUCUUCUGAUCUUUACUGCUUAAAGUAAAGCAGUCACCACCGCUUUUUCACACAAAGGGUCCCCUCACACCAGUGGGAAGCUGUGGACCAGUGCAUUCCAGUAGUGACGGGGUACCAGAUGUACACACAAUCACAAAACUUUAACACAGACUCCCUCCUUCUCUUUUUCUCUUUCAUGAGGGUACACACACACACACAGAGUGAGAGAGAGGUAGAACUAGUACUCAUGGGAUCAGAAAAAUAUAUUCAAUCUUUUGUAAUUUUACUUCAUCAGAUCUCUCCUCUAGUAAGGAUGCUUAGAAAACAUCCCUAUUUGAAAAGUUUGCCUUUGUGUGUCUCAUCCUGGAAGUCUCAGUACCUGGAAUAUAACUUUUUACCCAUUUGGAAUGUAUGUGUAUAUACAAAGCUAGAAAGAGAUAAUAUCAUAUGUCCUUGAGCUAACUUGGUGUUAAGCUAAUGUCACCAAAUGUCAUGCUGUGAGCUCUGAUCACGGCAAAGAGAGCAGAAUGCUGGACAGAGCUGCAGAAAUAACUUCUGUCUUUUGUUGCCACAUGUACCAGCAUGCAGCACGCUUUGCAGAGAUCAUUUGUACCACAAUGCUAUUUCACAAGUUGAGAUGGGUCACAGUAGGGAAGCGCUUCCUUAUAUUAUUUUCCAUCAAAGGGAGCUUAUACUUUUUGCCCAUCUGAAUAGUGUCAUUAGACUACUAAUUUACACUUUGGUAAAAGGGUCAGGAGUACUCCAUUUUUUGAUGAUCUGAUAUUAGAUUGAAAAGGGAAAUUUUAAUAAGUGCUGUAAUUUGCCACUGCCCUUCCAUCAUUCAGUCCUUUUUGAAUUAGAUAGCUUAUAAGACAAAAAAAAAGUCCAGUGCAUGGAAUAUUUCAAGGUGUUAAGUCUUUCUAGUACUAAAGAAUUCAUUUUCUUUCAUCCUAAUGGAGUCCCUUUCCUGUCCAAAACAUUUUUUAAAGAAAGAUUUAUUCUUCUUAAUAUUAUGUAUCAAUUUAGGAGGAGAAAAUUAUCCAUACAGAAAAGUCUAUGUGACAACUAAAUUAUUAUUAUUUUGAAAUCUACUCUUUGUAAAAUACAAAAAGUGUAUUCAUGGAUUAUAUUAGUAUCUUCAGAAGUUCUGUAGAAUGAAAUAUACAAUCAUAUAUAUCAAAAAUUAUAUAAAAGUAAAUAUUGUCAGGUGAAAGCACACAACAGAUAUAUAACUUAUCAUUAUUCUGCUUAUUUAGAAACAUAGAACACUGAUUCAAAUAUUCCUAGGAUCCACAACCCUGCAUUGAGCUGUAGGAACUUAGUAUCUAACAAAAGCUACAGAAAACACAUGCAGAAAUAAAAGUUAAUUCCUCCCACUGCAUUUUGAAGCACAUAGCUUCUCAUAAAUGUAUAUGAAUGUGCUAUUUUCCUUUUACAAUUAUAUCCCACAUUUAUACCAUCAUGGUAUCAAAGGCAGUGUACAUGUGCCUCCCAUCCAGGCACUGAUCAUGCUCAGACCUGCUUAGGUUCAGCACAAUGGUGCUGUCACAUGCUUUGGGCCUCACCACCAUGAUAGUUAAUCUGUUCCAUUGGAGCUUGAGGGUCACAGGGAAGGUAGGCAUAGUUAGGCCACGUCCAGAUAAUUCAGGAUCAUGGACAGUGAUCCAUGCAGGACUGCAAGCCAGUGUUGCCACAGAGGGCUUUGGUCUCAGAAGUCAGCUGAAGAUAGCUGAAGCCUUAUGUAAGCUUUAUAAGGUCUGUCCUGCACUUGGCCCUGCCUCCCUGGAAGAGCUGACUGGGUAAUUUAAAGGAGUCUUAUCUGGUUUUUAUCCAUUAGCUUCUGAAGAGUUGCAAAUGUAGAGUUGCUUUUGUGGAUUGUCUUCUGAGUGCAAGGGAAAUGUUUGGGCCAUGUUCUUCACCAGGGCAGGUGUGGAAGAAUGUAUAGAAUGCUUCUCCCUGGGUGGAGCAGUUGUACCUCACACUCCUCUGAGUCUUGCUUGUGGUAUUAUGAGACUCUUGGGUUGGAGGGAUCCUAACAUUAGCAGUCCUUUUAUUUUGACAGGUAUCCCGGCUCCUCUCUCCCAUCCCUCUAACCUAUCAGAAUUUUCUUUCUGCAGAUAGCCGAAAACAGAAGGAAGGGAGAAAAUGAGAUGGCAACAUGGACAAAAGAUGAAGUGGGAGCAGCAUGGGGGGAGGAGGGUCAAUGUAAAUCCAUUAGCAACUGCUGUGACAACAUGGUCACAGAACUACGUGGGUUUGGGCUAUAAUGAAGACCAAGGAACUAAUGCCUAGAUGACUCCUAAACCAUUUUUUCAUCUUAAUUUUAGACAUCAAGUUUGGAGGCACCCUCUUAGAAUACUUUGGAUUAUAUCCAAAAUAGCACUAAGUCACUCAUUCCAUUAGUGCAAGGAUUUAUGCUUGUGCAACAGAAUAUCCCAUCUUUUCCUCCCCUUAAGUGCCCCCGGAACAUGUUGUGGGGAAUUUUUCAGAACAGAUUUGGAGAGGGUGCUGGGUAGACAGGAUGGAUGGAUGGAUGAGGGGGAAGUUCCACUGUCCAAGCCUAAAUCCUCAUGUUAAUGGAAUGAGUGCCACCCACAGUGUUUGCUUAGGUAAAACAAUUAGGAUAUAGGAAGAAAUGUGUUUGGAAGCACUACAAGAUAGGAGUGAAACUACAAUUCAGCAAUCUUUAAGUCUCAUUAAGUUGCUAUUCUGUGCUUUGGUUGGCCUUCCUUGGUGCAAAUUUCUUUGUGGAUAAUUCUGGCAUUUUGUAAACAAUCCUAUUUACUGGCUAUGCUCUAUACAGUUCAGCUUUAUCAAUACAUAUUAUUACGGGUCACCUCACUCUCCCCUUUGGUUCAUUCUGUUAAGUGGAUCAUAUAAAAUCACUAUCUACAGUUUCCCUUUCGAGAGAGUGAUUAUACCAAUCCAGUUCAACUGUUGAACUAUCCUUUUAAAUGAUUCUCAAACUCUUGGAAGCUUUCCCAAGUGCAACUAUAGUUAUAAAUACUGAUUAAGUAUUAAGUAUGACCUUUUAAAGGGGGCAAAGUGGUGAUGGUUUGUUAUCAGCACAGAGAAUCUUGUACAGAAAAAUAUUUUCCUAGCCUUUUAAGUAACCUCUCUUGUUGAUAUUUGACCCAUGCUUGCAUCAAUGUACUGCUGUGAGGAUAUGACUUAUUUCUUAAGUUGUUGUAUUAUCCCAGAGAAAAUGUCUUAUUGAUCUUCUUCUAUUGGCUCACGCAGGAAAGAAAACAUGCUUUUAAAUUAUGAGCAUGCUACUAUGCUUCUCUGUGUUGUGGUGGUCUAAUAGAUUAAUCUAUAUGGCUUGUAUAAUUUUCACCCCAAAGCUUCAGGGGACAAUAAGAAAAACUUACGGUAGAGGAUAAGAUUUUGUAUUUAUUUUUUAAACAGACAUAAGCAUGUAAAUGUUGAAUCAGAUUGAAAGAUAAAGAAGUACUGUUGAUGUUGAUAUUAGCUGAAGUUUAGGCAUGAGCUAUAUGUGCACUAGACCAUUAAAGCACAUUCAAAUCACAUUUAACCCCUCAAAGAAUUCUGGGCAACCCCUCACAGAGUUACAAUUCCCACUAACGCUUAAUAAACUAUGGUGCCCAGAAUUCUUUGAGGGGGGAUAUGCUCUUUAAAGGUAAAGGGUGUACACAGCCUCGAUGUUGCUAAGUAUAAUGUUGUAAAGUGUUGUGUUGUUGUUGUUUAGUCGUUUAGUCGUGUCCGACUCUUCAUGACCCCAUGGACCAGAGCACGCCAGGCACUUCUGUCUUCCACUGCCUCCCGCAGUUUGGUCAAACUCAUGCUGGUAGCUUUGAGAACACUAUGCAACCGGGGGGCCACCAGGUGGCGCGUUGGAAGAUGGCUGACAAUAACAUCUCUUUGACCCAUACGAGGUACUAAGGGGCUGCUAUGGGAAGUAGGCAGCCUUCCUAAUGCCCCCCCAGGAUACGGGGGGGGGGGCUCUGCCCUGCCAGCAGUGUUCACAAUGCACCCCCUGAUACAAGUGAUGGGGGUGCCGAACACUUGGCAAAAGGCCCUCGGUGAAGUCAGAUCUUCCUGAUGCCGAUUCCAAUCAGCGCGUGCUGGUUGCUUCAGCUUGGAAUUAUAAUUGGAAACAUACGAUUGGAAAUAAAGCUGAAAGCACAUACAUCAAGUAAAGCUCGAAGAUAAGACUGCUGAUUUAUGGAUCUCUGCGACCAGGAGUGACGGACGGAUAAGUAAAUCUUCUGAUGAAUUACCACAAGGAGAUUGUAUGUUUGGAACCAAGGGGGGGUGGAGGAAAAAACUCUUUCCCCCCCCUGCAUGAUGUGACAUAAAUAACCCUUCACCCCAGAUAGAAACAAGAUCGCUGCGUUUUUAUGAAUCACAGGCAGGAUUUUAAGAACUAUGUGGGAUGGAUUAAAACAGGAAAGAAGACUGGAGAAUGGUGAGAAAAGUGGAAAAUUCUUAUGACGCAGUUAAAAUAUGGCGUCUCGCUAAGACAGGCUUGUCGGAGGAAGAAGGACUGGGGAGGAGAAUCAGGACUGUUCGAACGAGAAGGAAUGUUGGAAUGCAAGUUUGACCUGACAGAGCCCCCAGACUCAUUUGAUUUAUUUGAAAAAUAAAGGACAGAUCGGAGACUAAUCUUGUGUAUGGAAGCGUUGUACAGAGGCUGUCCCUGAUCGAUAUGAUUUUUGAAAGAGUACAAAAAUCCACAUAGAAUGCCAGCUUUCAACCUGCUUGUGAAAAUCAUCAGAGAUCGCAAAGAAAGGAAUUUAUGAUAACAACAAGAAGAGAAAGGAAGUAAUAAAGGACUAUCCGGAUCAAACUGGACAGAACUGUCUAAUGAAAGCAGUAAGAUAAGUGAUGCUGUUUUGGACUCGAGCCGAGCUUGAUGUAUGGGCACCCCCAACAAAAUUUAAAAUUUGGC
rnacentral:lncRNA from 1 species